rnacentral:lncRNA from 1 species
GCAUCGUCAAAAGCAAACCUUUGCUCGUACAACGCCGUAUUGGUUUGGGCGGAGGCGGAACAAUGCCGCGCCGGCCCCGAAUCAUAGGAUAACUUUUCGGCCUGCAGAAGGAGUAUGGAAAUUUUUAAAAUGAUUGACGAAACACAUAGGAUUGCUCCAUAUCUAGUAAAGCGUGACUGCUGACUAGCAGCACUACGCAAGGCCAUUAUCAACCACGACAUCCAGGGGCCGUCCGCAGGACUUGCUGGUUGGCAGAGCUGACAGGCACGUUUUUAACUUCCAAACUACUUCUGUUCGGUUGGCGACAAGGCGCGGAACACGCCAUGGCACAGAGAGUCUCAGAGAACCUUGUGUCAGUGGACGAUGACCAGACGGGCUGGAAUGGCACCCUUUCGAACAACUAAACCAGGUUUAAUUGUAGCCCACGGGCCGGGAACCACCUCGCAGGCCAGCGUUUCCACGAGGCGGCCUUGACCCUGGCGCGAGUGGAGGCUAGUAAUGGCCUCCGAUGAGGAUUUCAGCUUGAUGGAACC